rnacentral:sRNA from 1 species
GCUGGGCGUGAUGGCGCACACCUGUAAUCCCAGCUACUCAGGAGGCUGAGGCAGGAGAAUCGCUUGAACCCAGGAGGUGGAGGUUGCAGUGAGCCGAGAUCAUGCCACUGCACUCCAGCCUGGGUGACAGAGUGAGACUCUGUCAAAAGAAAAAAAAAAGUGCUGGGUGCGGGGGCUCAUGUCGGAAAUUCCAGCACUUUUGGGAGGCCGAGGCAGGCAGAUCAUGAGGUUAGGAGAUUGAGACCAUCCUGGGUAACACAGUGAAACUCCGUCUCU